AUUGAACGCUGGCGGCAGGCCUAACACAUGCACGUCGAGCGGAGCGGAGGAAGGGUGAGUAAUGCCUAGGAAUCUGCCUGGUAGUGGGGGAUAACGUCCGGAAACGGGCGCAAAUACAGCAUACUAUCAGAUGAGGCUCGGGCGGAUUAGCUAGUUGGGUGUGUAGAGGCCUAUCAAGACGACGAUCCGAAACUGGUCUGAGAGGAUGAUCAGUCAAACUGGAACUGAGACACGGUCCAGACUCCUACGGGAGGCAGCAUGGGGGAAUAUUGGACAAUGGGCGAAAGCCUGAUCCAGCCAUGCCGCGUGUGUGAAGAAGGUCUGCGGAUUGUAAAGCACUUUAAGUUGGGAGGCGUUACCAACAGAAUAAGCACCGGCUAACUUCGUGCCAGCAGCCGCGGUAAUAC
rnacentral:rRNA from 1 species